rnacentral:misc_RNA from 1 species
GAUGAAGAACGUAGCGAAAUGCGAUACUUGGUGUGAAUUGCAGAAUCCCGUGAACCAUCGAGUCUUUGAACGCAAGUUGCGCCCGAAGCCAUUAGGCCGAGGGCACGCCUGCCUGGGCGUCACACGUCGUUGCCCCCCCAUCUACUCCUUCGGGAUUGCGGGGGGCGGAUGAUGGCCUCCCGUGCGCCUCGUCGCGCGGUUGGCAUAAAUGCCAAGUCCUCGGCGACGCACGCCACGACAAUCGGUGGUUGCGAAACCUCGGUUGCCCGUCGUGUGCGGUCGUCGCGCAUCGAGGGCUCGAAAAAAUUGCCGGGCUCCGGCUCGGCUUUCAACGCGACCCCAGGUCAGGCGGGGUUACCCGCUGAGUUUAAGCAUAUCAAUAAGCGGAGGA